CAGACUGAGUCAGAUUCUGGAAGCAGAUUGGGAAAAGGGAAGCGGAAAAGGAGGCCAGUGAUCCAGUCAAGCUCGGAUGAGGAUUGGGACAACGCUGCGGAACAGCCAGAGACCUCAUCAACAUCAGCAAUGGAGAAUAGACAUUCAAGUGAAACUCCCCACCAGAACGUCACUCAUCCAUUUGUUCAGCUACCACCACCCUCAACUCCUUCGCCUGUGGUUUCACAACCAGUUCCAAGACAACUUGUACAAGCCACCAAUACCAGCAUGUUUGUACGUGUUCUAACCCUCCUGGAAGACAUUAAGGAGACUCAGAGGAUCCACAGUCGAAUGCUACAGUCUCUCCUCAAACAACGUGAUGGACCAGUUGCUGCAGUAUUACCCGAGGGUGCUGUUUUUCCUCUCCGGACAGUCGCAGACGUGGAAGCACUGGAACAAAAACUGAUAGACCCUGUCUUCCUGAAAGAAGUGGUUGCUGUUGUGGCAGAGAUCGGAGGGAGCACUGUUGAUGAAGCCACCAGAAGAAUGAUGGCCUUCAUUAUGGACAAUGCUCUUUCCAGGCAAUAUAACUUCGUUGGGCGCCAUGGAAAGCGGGAAUUUCGAGGGCUUAAGAUUUUUGAAGUGCUAUAUGCAUACUUGAAGACAGCUCUCACGAAACCGUUUUUUGGUUCCUCACUGUGUUACGGACCAAUGGAUCACUGAAUGAGUGAGAAGCUGUGUUUCAGUGCAUUUCUUUUUCGUUUAAACUGUAUAACAUUGAUUUGUUAUUGUUUUGUGUAUACUGGGGACCUUUUUUGUCAACAUGUUCUCUAAACAAAAAAAAUAUUUGUAUAGUAUAUAAAAAAUUACUGUUAUACUGCAUACUGUUUUAAAAUGUCAUAUUAAUCAGUAUUAAUAAAAAAGAUAAACUGA
ensembl:lncRNA